UAUGUUCAAUUAUAUUGUUAUUGGCGUGCAGUUAUUUUACCCAAAAGUCUAUCAAAUUAAGUUAUGUUCCGGUUCUCUCUUUUUGUUACGUCAUCGCCUUUUUUCUCUUGCAUUCUCUUUGUUCAUUACGUGGCAAUUUCAGUUUAGUUGAUCCUUAAGUGAUUUGAAUGAACGUUGGUGCUAAACUUCUGUAGUGAACGGAAGUAGUUUAUAGCCACAAAUUUUCAGGUAUAUAUCUUUUCGCAUUAGUUGUUUAUUCGCAUAUUUACGUGUUUAUUUACUAUUGUUAUUUUUUCCUUUUAGUUACCGCAAUCCGCAAUCCGCAAUCCGCAAUCCGCAAUCCGCAAUCCACAAAUAAUACAAUUAAAAGAUUUGCGCGUUUGACUGAUUGGCUAUAACACCAACGAAGAGAAAAAUAAAAAGAGACAGAGUCCAGAAGACCUGCCCAUAAGAUAUAUAAAUUGUUUU